AUUGAACGCUGGCGGCAUGCCUAACACAUGCAAGUCGAACGAGUGGCGGACGGGUGAGUAAUGUCUGGGAAACUGCCUGAUGGAGGGGGAUAACUACUGGAAACGGUAGCUAAUACCGCAUACCAUCGGAUGUGCCCAGAUGGGAUUAGCUAGUCGGUGGGGUAACGGCUCACCUAGGCGACGAUCCCUAGCUGGUCUGAGAGGAUGACCAGCCACACUGGAACUGAGACACGGCCCAGACUCCUACGGGAGGCAGCAGUAGGGAAUAUUGCGCAAUGGGCGCAAGUCUGAUGCAGCAAUGCCGCGUGUAUGAAGAAGGCCUUCGGGUUGUAAAGUUCUUUCAUCGGGGAAGCGUUACCCGCAGAGGAAGCACCGGCUAACUCCGUGCCAGCAGCCGCGGUAAUUC
rnacentral:rRNA from 1 species